CCCUUAGAUGUUCUGGGCUGCACGCGCGCUACACUGAUGCAUGCAACGAGUUUUCGACCUUGCCUGAAAAGGUUGGGUAAUCUGUUUAACAUGUGUCGUGAUGGGGAUAGACCAUUGCAAUUAUUGAUCUUCAACGAGGAAUUCCUAGUAAGCGCGAGUCAUCAGCUCGUGCUGAUUAUGUCCCUGCCCUUUGUACACACCGCCCGUCGCUCCUACCGAUUGAGUGACCCGGUGAAUGAUUCGGACCAGCGUGCUGCUCAGAUCCUGCGCAGUGUGCUGGGAAGUCUAGUGAACCUUAUCACUUAGAGGAAGGAGAAGUCGUAACA
rnacentral:rRNA from 1 species